ensembl:lncRNA
AGGUCGUCGUGUUUCUCCCUUUCAUCGCGCCGUGUUGUGCAGUUCAAAGUAUAGUGACGUGAAUCUGAACAUCUGCGUUGCAGCCCUUCAUCAGCGGUCAGCCCAGUAAGAAGCUCGCCGUGGAUCAGGCUGCCGCCGCCGGCGAAGCCCCGCCCCCUCCCGCCGGCGCCGGCGUGGUGGUGGAGAGCGGGCCGGUGGUCUACGAUGACGCGGCCGGCGAUGAGGAGGAAGACGAGGAAGAGGAGGCCUGUGUCAGCGCCAUGGAUCUGCUGGGCAGCAACGAUUAUGGCAGCGACGCCGACUACGACGACUGACUGCUUUUCGCCUCACGUCUGCUUUCGCGCCGCUCCGACUCCUCAAGUGAUCGUUAACCACGAGGGGGACGCGGCGCGUCUGCAGCUUCAGACGGCGCCGCCAUGCCCGGAGCGGACCAGGACGUCCCGCAGGGACUGAAGAGGGACCGAAAACGAAAGCUGGACACCACUUUGCACCGCUCGCCGUCCCGACUGAGCAGCGAGGAGGCGCCGCCUGGACGCCGCCGCAGGAGUCCAAGCGGGAACGCUGGUCGUCAUUUGGGUCACAAGCCGAGGAAACGUUCCACUAAACGUUGUUCUGAAGAUCUUUUAUUGAAGUGAUUCAAAUGUGGAGGUCAACGUCAUUUUAUUUUAUUUAUUUUUUUCCUGUGAAAUCACCUCAUCGUUCUUUACUGAACAAAAUGCUGCAUCGUGGUAUUUUCCUCCAACUCGCACUUUACGAUGACAUCACUUCCUGUUGGCUAAUCUUCGCUAAACCUCUUUAUAAACAAGCGUCUGACAGCAUGAGAUCAAUAAAGCUUUAAUCCUUCUAAACUAUGCAGAAAUCCAUCUCAGAUAUCUAUAUCUAUAUAGAUGUAUAUUGUAUAUAAUCUCAGGGUUUUUUUUUAGUUGCUGUUGAUUUGGGUUUUUAUUUAGAUUCCGGACGUUUUAAUUCAUGAGAUUGUGUCAUUUUUGAAUUGUUUGAAUAUUCUCCUCAAAGCCGGGCGGCACGUAAACACAUUCUCUGUGAUUAUUAUAUUUCCCACAAGAGAGCGAGCAGGUCUAUUUAGUAUUUAUGCUUUUGGGUUUUCGUGUUGGGGGGGUGAGACUCACGCCGCGGCGCCUCCUUUCUGCUCAGAUGACGCUUUGCAUUCUGGAUGUUGUGCAAUAAAGAUUCACUACAUGGAGGACAAAGGUGGGUCGUUUCUUUCUUCACGGUUAAAAUGGGAAUCAAGAACCCGACAUUAACCCCCCCCACUUUAAAGUUCUCCUGUUUCAGUCACAGAAGCAGCAACAAGCAGUGUUUUCCUUCCUUCCUCCUCUGGCCUUUUUCUUCUGCUUCUUCACCUUCGUCUGCUGCCCUCGAUCCUCCUAAAUGCCCCCCCUCCCCCCCAUCAGCUUCUGACCCUUCUUCCCCCCCACCUUUACUCCUCUUCCU